AGCUCGCUCCCAGGCGUCGAGCGGCGGACGGGUGAGUAACACGUGGGAAUCUGCCCAUUAGUGGGGGAUAACUCGGGGAAACUCGAGCUAAUACCGCAUAAUCCCUACGGGGGAAAGCAGGGGAUCUUCGGACCUUGCGCUGAUGGAUGAGCCCGCGUCGGAUUAGCUUGUUGGUGGGGUAAUGGCCCACCAAGGCGACGAUCCGUAACUGGUCUGAGAGGAUGGCCAGUCACACCGGGACUGAGACACGGCCCGGACUCCUACGGGAGGCAGCAGUGGGGAAUCUUGGACAAUGGGCGCAAGCCUGAUCCAGCCAUGCCGCGUGUGUGAAGAAGGCCUUCGGGUUGUAAAGCACUUUCAGUAGGGAGGAAGGCUUUGGGCUAAUACCCUGGAGUACUUGACGUUACCUACAGAAGAAGCACCGGCUAAUUUCGUGCCAGCAGCCGCGGUAAUACGAAAGGUGCGAGCGUUAAUCGGAAUUACUGGGCGUAAAGCGCGCGUAGGCGGUGUGUUAAGUCGGAUGUGAAAGCCCAGGGCUCAACCUUGGAAUUGCAUCCGAUACUGGCACGCUAGAGUGCAGUAGAGGGAGGUGGAAUUUCCG
rnacentral:rRNA from 1 species